rnacentral:antisense_RNA from 1 species
GCAGCACUGAGGAGUAAAGGAAUAUUUGGGAGGAUCAGAAGCUUGGUCCUGAUUUUGCCAUCAACCAGGACCUUGAUGACUUCAAGGGAGUCCCCAAACCCUGGGUUUCUGUUUUCUCAACUCUAACAUGAGGGGCUAGACGCAUCUGGUUUAGUUCGUCUCCAUGAUCCUGUGAAUUUCAGAUGUUGAAAAUCUUCAGAAAAGCCCUGAAAGAUGAAGAGUCUUCACCAAACUCCUCCCUCCAGAAUAUUCCUCCAGAAUAUAAAAUGCCUCACCAACAUGAGACAACAGCAGGAAGCACCCAUUUGUAGUAAUCCUCUGUAUGGAGGAGGCUGUUACAUAACCACAAAGGCACAAAGCUGCAGUUUUGAGAACAUCUUCCCACGCCAGUUCUAAGCAUUGACCUCAACUAUGGUUGCUAACACAAGAAUCCGCACUGGUGACUUUUGAGCCAUCAAUCAUCCUUUCCUAACACAUGAUUCUUUUGGAAAAUGGUCUCAAAUAGUCAAGACCCCCUGCUGGGGGGAGCGUCUAUCCUGCUCUGUGGAAGAAAUGGGCAUGCCAGAUGCCUG